GGUAUUCAUAUAAACCGUGUGAAGCUUAAGCGGAUAAGAAGAACACCGGAGACUGCUUAAUCGGAUUCCUUGAACGGAGAGGUACACCGGACGAUUGCAGGUAAGUUGAUUUUUUUUUAGGUUUAAUUUUUGAGCGGUGUUCAUCCUAUAAUCAUCUAUACCGGACACGCUUUGAUCGGUAUUCAUCUACACCGGUCACCAUUUGAGCGGAUUCUUCACAACUUUGAGCGGUUUACACUAAACCUCACACUAUUUCAUCGGAUUCGUUCAAAUCAGGUCAGUUUUAGCUUUCAAUUUUGAGCGGACUUGUGAACUUUUUAGGAUGAACUUUUGUGCAUCAAGUUAUCCGGUUUAUUAAACCGCUCAAUCAAUUUCACCGGUUUCUUAAUCGCUCAAAGUAAAUUGAUCUGUAUAAUCUGUUUUUUUUUAAGUUGAUCAUCAGUUUAUGUGGUUUAUCGCACAACAGAAAGCUUGUCUGGAUUUGAUGUUUGGUAUUCAAUAAUACAAUUUGUAAUUCAUCUGAUUUGGAAAUUUCUUGAAAGCCAAGAAGAAAUUUGAAACUCAUUUAGCUACACAGGCACUUUACAAUGAUAUUGAACUUCUUGUUUUGAAAUUGUUGUGGUUUUACGUUGCUGUUUUGAUUUUAAUGUUCUGGAAUAUAUUUGAGGACUGGUUCAUAGGACUGUUUAUCACACAAUCUUGGAAAGAAGGACUUCGGGAUUUUGAGCAGAAGCAACAACAGGACAGGUUUCAGCAUCAAUUUCACUGUUUUGAAGGUUUUGCUGUUUUGAAGUUUUAAGUUGCUGUUUUUAAGCUGUUUUUUUUAAGAACAUGAACAUAGCAACUGUUUAACAACAGCAACAACAGAACAACAAGUAUUAACAGCAGCAACAGGUUGUUGUUGUUGAGUUUAAAAUCGAAAGCUGUUGGUGUGGAGAUGAUUCAAGUGACAGUAGACUGUUUAUUUUGACAGCUUAGUGUAAGCAAUAACAGGUUUUGAUAGCAGAUUUGAAGGUAUAUUAGUCUUAUUGGUUUUUGAGCAAAGAACAGCAGCAGCAGAAGUGUGCAGGUGACAGCAACAGUAGCAAGAAACAGUUUAAAACAUAUCGUGCAGUAGGUCACAGAAACAGUGUGUGAACAAGAGGACAUCAAUAGAUUUUUUUAAGCAGUUUGUAGUGUUGUUUUGCUGUUCAAAACAACAUUAGUUGUUUUGUGAGCAGUGUGCAGCAGCUUCACUUGCUGUGUUUGUGAACAGUGUCGGUAAAAGAUUCACUUGUUACAGGGUUUUGAUCUGUGCUGUGUUGAAGCAGCAGCAACAAACAGAACAGCAGCAGUACAGCCUGUUAAUUGAAACAAGAAGAAGACAGCAACAGAAAAAGAAAGUGUAACAGCAACUGUUUCACUUUGCAGACUGAAACAACAGCUUAAUCUUGUUUGUAGGUGAUAGAUUCGUUGUUCCUGGUUUGCAGUAGUUAACAGCAGCUAGGCAGAUUUGACAGCAGCAAUAUCUCAUCAAUAUCUCACAAUGAAAACAAAACAGCAGCAGCAAAGUUUUUUUUUGGAAUGUGUUUAGUGUAACAGCAAGUUCAUAAUCGCAGACUUGUUGUUGUGAUUAGAUAUAGACAAAUUUGUGUGCUGCUGAGUGAUGUGUAUUCAGUGUGCAGGUUUCUUCAUCUUGACAGCUUCAUCUGUUUUAUGCAUUGCAGUUUGACAGCAACUACAUUUUGACAAGAAACAAGUUUAACAGCAGCAGUUUGUCGCUCAAGUGCAGGUCUGUUUUUGACAGCCAGUAGCAGGUCUGUGAAGAACAUAGCAAGUUUAAAAGCAUCAAAACAGCAAAGCUGUGCUGUAUUGGUGUGGAGAGGGAGAAAACAGCAGCAAAAAGUUGGUGUGAACAAGAAAAGCAGCAACAAAGCAUUUGUGUGCAGUUUUAAGCAAACAACAGUAACAGCAGUUUUAAGAAAACAGUAACACAUUCUUGCUGUUUUAAAACUGUUUUGUCAGCAACAAGAAGAAAGAAACAGCAGGUUUCUGUUUAAAAGGUUUUAAAAACAGCAGGUUCACAACUACAGGUUUUAUAUAUCAAUUGUUCAUUGAACUGAUUCAGUUGCAUGUUUGUAGUCUAAAUCUGCUGUCUAUGGAGAUUUUGUAAUUACUUAGUAUAGACUUGACUGUCAAUUUUGGUGCAGGAAUCUGUUAAAAUCUGUUGGUGUGAAGACUGCAGUCGACAGCGGAAAAGAAAGUUUUUCAAGCAUAGUUAGGAUUGGUUUUGGACAGUUUAACAGAUUUGAAAGACURUUGAUUUGGUUUUGCUUUCGGGGACUAAGUUCAACUUYACAGAAGCACACAGCAUUCAAGUGGAUUUUUGAAUACACUUCAGAGAGCAGAUAGAUCAUUUUUUUAGUGUAAUAUCUGUAUUGUAUUUGGGCUUGGAUCGGUGUGAUUUGGACUUAGACUCAUAUUUUUGGACWUGGAUAUUUUUUUUGGACUGUUUAUAGUUUCUUAGGAUUGUUUGUGUUUAGA